GGGGAAUAUUGCACAAUGGGCGAAAGCCUGAUGCAGCAACGCCGCGUGAGUGAUGACGGUCUUCGGAUUGUAAAGCACUUUCAGCGGGGAGGAAGGCGGUGAGGUUAAUAACCUCAUCGAUUGACGUUGCCCGCAGAAGAAGCACCGGCUAACUCCGUGCCAGCAGCCGCGGUAAUACGGAGGGUGCAAGCGUUAAUCGGAAUUACUGGGCGUAAAGCGCACGCAGGCGGUCUGUCAAGUCGGAUGUGAAAUCCCCGGGCUCAACCUGGGAACUGCAUUCGAAACUGGCAGGCUAGAGUCUUGUAGAGGGGGGUAGAAUUCCAGGUGUAGCGGUGAAAUGCGUAGAGAUCUGGAGGAAUACCGGUGGCGAAGGCGGCCCCCUGGACAAAGACUGACGCUCAGGUGCGAAAGCGUGGGGAGCAAAC
rnacentral:rRNA from 1 species